rnacentral:tRNA from 1 species
AUAAAAGUAACACAAAGGUUAGUGUGUUUGGCUUAGAACCAGACUAUAUUGGUUAAAUUCCAAUCUUUUAUU